rnacentral:rRNA from 10 species
AGCCGUCUGUACAUAUUGUCCGUCGCUCCUAUUGGUUGAGUGACCUGGUAAAUAAUUCGAACGUCGCAGUGUUCAGAUCCUGAACGUUGCAGUGGAAAGUGUAGGGAACCGGAGAAGUUGUAACAAGGCUUCCGUAGGUGAACAUGC